AGAAUCAACGCUGGCGGCGUGCCUAACACAUGCAAGUCGAACGAGAAAGUGGAGCAAUCCGAUGAGUAAAGUGGCGACCGGGUGAGUAACACGUGACUAACCUACCUUCGAGUGGGGGAUAACCUCGGGGAAAACCGAGGCUAAUACCGCAUAACAUCGCAAGAUCAAAGCAGCAAUGCGCUGGAAGAGGGGGUCGCGGCUGAUUAGCUAGUUGGCGGGUAACGGCCCACCAAGGCGAAGAUCGGUA
rnacentral:rRNA from 1 species